rnacentral:pre_miRNA from 1 species
AGGAGGAACAACCCCAGUGGCGGGGCCAGCUCUGGAGCACUGGAGUCAGCUCCCGCAGUAACUCCGGAGCUCUCGGUCUGCAGGGCCUGGCGGCUCUGGGGCGGG